GAUGAACGCUGGCGGCGUGCCUAAUACAUGCAAGUCGAGCGAACGGACGAGAAGCUUGCUUCUCUGAUGUUAGCGGCGGACGGGUGAGUAACACGUGGAUAACCUACCUAUAAGACUGGGAUAACUUCGGGAAACCGGAGCUAAUACCGGAUAAUAUUUUGAACCGCAUGGUUCAAAAGUGAAAGACGGUCUUGCUGUCACUUAUAGAUGGAUCCGCGCUGCAUUAGCUAGUUGGUAAGGUAACGGCUUACCAAGGCAACGAUGCAUAGCCGACCUGAGAGGAUGAUCGGCCACACUAGAACUGAGACACGGUCCAGCAUCCUACGGGAGGCAGCAGUAGGGAAUCUUCCGCAAUGGGCGAAAGCCUGACGGAGCAACGCCGCGUGAGUGAUGAAGGACUUCGGAUCGUAAAACUCUGUUAUUGGGGAAGAACAUAUGUGUAAGUAACUGUGCACAUCUUGACGGUACCUAAUCAGAAAGCCACGGCUAACUACGUG
rnacentral:rRNA from 1 species